rnacentral:rRNA from 1 species
GAUGAACGCUGGCGGCGUGCCUAAUACAUGCAAGUCGAACGCAUUGUGGUUGAAAUGAUAUGAAGAACUUGUUCAGAUUUGAUUUUCAACAUUGCAAUGAGUGGCGAACGGGUGAGUAACACGUGGGAAACCUACCUCUUAGCAGGGGAUAACAUUUGGAAACAAAUGCUAAUACCGUAUAAUAAUUAAAACCGCAUGGUUUUAGUUUAAAAGAUGGUCUUGCUAUCACUAAGAGAUGGUCCCGCGGUGUAUUAGUUAGUUGGUGAGGUAAUGGCUCACCAAGACAAUGAUACAUAGCCGAGUUGAGAGACUGACCGGCCACAAUGGGACUGAGACACGGCCCAUACUCCUACGGGAGGCAGCAGUAGGGAAUCUUCCACAAUGGACGAAAGUCUGAUGGAGC